GAUUCAUAAUAACUUAACGAAUCGCAUGGCCUUGUGCCGGCGAUGGUUCAUUCAAAUUUCUGCCCUAUCAACUUUCGAUGGUAGAGUAGUGGUCUACCAUGGUUUCAACGGGUAACGGGGAAUUAGGGUUCUAUUCCGGAGAGGGAGCCUGAGAAACGGCUACCACAUCCAAGGAAGGCAGCAGGCGCGCAAAUUACCCAAUCCCGACACGGGGAGGUAGUGACAAUAAAUACUGAUACAGGGCUCUUUUGGGUCUUGUAAUUGGAAUGAGUACAAUUUAAAUCCCUUAACGAGGAACAAUUGGAGGGCAAGUCUGGUGCCAGCAGCCGCGGUAAUUCCAGCUCCAAUAGCGUAUAUUAAAGUUGUUGCAGUUAAAAAGCUCGUAGUUGAACCUUGGGCCUGGCUGGCCGGUCCGCCUCACCGCGUGCACUUGGUCCGGCCGGGUCUUUCCUUCUGGGAAUCGCAUGCCCUUCACUGGGUGUGUCGGGGAACCAGGACUUUUACUUUGAAAAAAUUAGAGUGUUCAAAGCAGGCAUAUGCUCGAAUACAUUAGCAUGGAAUAAUAGAAUAGGACGUGCGGUUCUAUUAGAGGUUUCUAGAGUCGCCCGUAAUGAUUAAUAGGGAUAGAUGGGGGGCAUUUGUAUUCCGUUGCUAGAGGUGG
rnacentral:rRNA from 1 species